AUUAAAUUUGUCUUACUUUGGACCACUGCCAACUGUUUUCUGUUCGUCAUUAAUCAAUAUAUUAUAUAUAUCCGCAUAAACUUUUCUGCCCUCUCAUGACAACAAAACCACUUGGUGAGAGUACUUAGACCUAAAGGAUGAGAGAUGAGACACUCCUGGCCACUAUUUAUAUCCCCUUCCUCUCCCUCUCUCUUCCAUAGCAGCUUUCAUAAUCCUUACAGAAAGAAAUAGCUUCAUCUCUCUCUCUCUCUCUCUGAUCUCUCCUAUCCAUCUUCGUCAAUCUGUGGCUGCCUUACCUGCUUCUCGUGCACCACUAGCGGUUGAAGCUGCCAGCAUGAUCUAAACUUCCCUCUCGAUUAAUCAAGGAAAGAUCGGAUCAUGUGGCAGCUUCACCUGUUGAUGGAAUCACGAAAAACCCAGAAUUUUUUUCAGAAAUUGAUGUCCAUUCUUGCUACGAUUUCCGCUGGAUUAUUAAUGUAUAUCUCAUAUAUAUAUAUGCCCAUCUGGGUAUUCUAGGGAAAAGCCCCAGGAUAAGAUUUGGGGAAUCUUGACAGCAAGGAGAUAUCACUGUUAGGGUUCUGAGUGACAGAAUUUCUCGUCUUAACAUGGUUGGUGCUUUUGAGAUCCCAUCUUAUUGGUGCAUAGCUUAUGACAAGUGUCAUUAAGGCUGUACAUCUUGAGAUUAAAUCAAUUAGUUCAUUGGUUUUGGUGAAGAGAAUAAUUUAUAGUCUCGGCAUCUUUCAUUUUUAUAUUAAAUUUUUUUUAAGUAAUAGGAAAAGGGAAAGCUAUUGAUUACUUUUUGUGGCCUGCAAUAUUAUAAAGCUUCUAAUUUCUUAUAAUAAUGUUUGUUUUGGGGAGUUGCCGAUCUCAGGAUAUUGUUGUUUAAUCGUUGUAAUCAUGAUGCUGCCGAUGAUGUACGUCCAUAUAUCAAUUUCCAUCUUGUUCGAUCAUAGGAGUAGUACUUUGUUCAUGAAUCUAAGAAACUCUUAUUAAGAGUAGUUAGUGGAAAAUGAAGUGUCCCUUUUUCUUUUUGUUUCGUUUCCUAAUUGAUCUCUCUCAUGUUAAUUAUUAUAAAAUAAACGUGAAAAUUAACUAAUACUUGCUAAUUAAUUAACUUAUGUGAUUGAAAUGGCCACUUUCUAUACUAAACUAAUUAAAACAAGAGAAAAUCUUUCUACGGCCAUUGAUAGUACAUCAUGAUAACCUUAAUUAAUUUCAAGGUUUGCUUGCGGAGUUAUAUUAAUUUGCAAAGCCAUGCAUCCAAUUACUAUUCAACGUACUUGCCUAAUUAAUUACAUAUAUAUAUAUAUAUAUAUAUAUUGUUUGUAUAUAUAUAUGUAUGUAUUUGUGUGUGCGCUCAUGGCUUUCAGUUUGGCUUAUGUUUUGUUCUUUUUCUUUGUUUUUUUCCCUCAACAUAUGCUGAUAUCAUAUCAUCAUAAAGGAAAUAUUACGACACGGUAGGGAUCUAUGUAAACACUUAAAUUAAGGAUCCAAUGAUAAUAAUCUAUGUUAACUCAAAAGGUGGAUCUGCAAGAAAUGGGUAUACGUAGUCGCCUGAGACGGCGUGAGGUUCUUAGUACUCAUAUGACAUUGCGAUCGUAAAUUGCUUGGAGCUGGUAAUUUUGAAGGAUGGCACGUCAACGAUGUUCAAGGCAGCAAGAGGAUGUUUGUGGUUUGAUACUGGCACGAUUUGAGCAGAGCUAAGAAACCAAAAACUAAACACAAUAACUAUAGACUAAUUCGAUCCAUGGCUUUGGCAAGAGAUGAACAUGCACUAGGAAGGGAAUAGGAGUCGUCCAAUUCCCUUUGUACCAAUGAGGAGGAAUCUUCCAAGCAAGCUAGUAGGUGAACAAGAAAAAUUCCAUUUAGAGAAAGAGAAAAAAUAGAUCUAGUAGAAAAUUAAUAAAAGAAAUGACAGACGAAAAUAUUUUCUAAUGUUUACCUCAGCAGUGGGUUUCCAAGAUUGUUUAACAGUAGAGGAAGAGCUUCAAGCACAAGAACAACCUUGAUUGGUGAUGGAGUUGACGAGCGAAGUCAGAGGAAGAUGGUGCCUUUAGCCACAACAUUGCCUUUGGCGCCAAACACAAAAGAAAGCGUGGAGAGAGAGAGAGAGAGAGAGAGAGAGAGAGAGAGAGAGAGAGAGAGAGAGUCUGAAAUAAAAAUAGGGACUUUCAGCCAGAAUAGAAAAACUAAUUUAAAAUGUUUAAAAUGAUGAAUAGUUUUCUUUACAUCUAGCGAGAGUACUGUAACAAACUGUAUAGUAAAGAUGGAAUACAAGAUCCAUUAGAGGGCAUGCACCCUUGAACAAUUUUCUUUAUAUUUUAAAGAACAUUAUAUUUUAGAGUAUCCAUUGGGAAUGUUCUUAACUUCGGAAUGAGAACAAUUUUAAGUA